rnacentral:RNase_P_RNA from 1 species
CUGGAAGAAGAGGCAAUCGCAAUUCGAAAGAAUUGAGGAAAGUCCAGGCUUCAAGGGCAAAAGUGCUGAACGCAAGUUCAGUGAGAGUAAUCUCAGGAAAGUGUCACAGAAACUACACCGCCAGAUAAUUUCUGGUAAGGGUGAAAAAGUGUGGUAAGAGCACACUACAAGGUUAGGUAACUAAUCUUGUGGAUAAACCCCACUUGGAGCAAGGUCAAAUAGGAGAACUUUAGCCCAUAAAAAGUUCUCGGGUGGACCGCUAAGAGAAAUGAUUGUCUUAAAAACAGAACCUGGCUUAACUUCUUCCAGAUCC